rnacentral:rRNA from 1 species
GAUGAACGCUGGCGGCGUGCCUAAUACAUGCAAGUCGAGCGAACAGACGAGGAGCUUGCUUCUCUGACGUUAGCGGCGGACGGGUGAGUAACACGUGGAUAACCUACCUAUAAGACUGGGAUAACUUCGGGAAUCCGGCGCUUAUACGGGAUAAUAUCUUGAACCGCAUGGUUCAAUAGUGAAAGUCGGUGUUGCUGGCACUUAUAGAUGGAUCUUCGCUGCAUUAGCUAGUUGUUAAGGUAACGGCUUACCAAGGCAAGGAUGCGUAGCCGACCUGAGAGGGUGGGCGGCCGCACUGGAACUGAGACACGGUCCAGACUCCUACGGGAGCCAGCAGUAGGGAAUCUUCCGCAAUGGGCGAAAGCCUGACGCAGCAACGCCGCGUGAGUGAUAAAGGUCUUCGGAUCGUAAAACUCUGUUAUUAGGGAAGAACAUAUGUGUAAGUAACUGUGCACAUCUUGACGGUACCUAAUAAGAAAGCCACGGCUAACUACGUG